GAUGAACGCUGGCGGCGUGCCUAAUACAUGCCAGUCGAGCGAACAGAUGAGGAGCUUGCUCCUCUGACGUUAGCGGCGGACGGGUGAGUAACACGUGGAUAACCUACCUAUAAGACUGGGAUAACUUCGGGAAACCGGAGCUAAUACCGGAUAAUAUAUUGAACCGCAUGGUUCAAUAGUGAAAGACGGUUUUGCUGUCACUUAUAGAUGGAUCCGCGCCGCAUUAGCUAGUUGGUAAGGUAACGACUUACCAAGGCAACGAUGCGUAGCCGACCUGUGAGGGGGAUCGGCCACACUGGAACUGAGACACGGUCCAGACUCCUACGGGAGGCAGCAGUAGGGAAUCUUCCGCAGUGGGCGAAAGCCUGACGGAGCAACGCCACGUGAGUGAUGAAGGUCUUCGGAUCGUAAAACUCUGUUAUUAGGGAAGAACAAAUGUGUAAGUAACUAUGCACGUCUUGACGGUACCUAAUCAGAAAGCCACGGCUAACUACGUG
rnacentral:rRNA from 1 species